GAAAGAUGGUAACUGCUUUUCAGGAGGACACAUAUUAAACAUUUCCCACCCUGUUACAAUCUACUGCUUUAAAGACAUAACUUUUAUUGUAUCUUGUUAAUUCUUUCUAUCUCUUUUGUUGUUGUUGUUUUUUUUCCAGUAGACUUCUGCACUAAUAGAUCUUUUGGAUUUGCCAUGCUCUCUUGCUGCAGUUUCAUCUUUCAUCUUUUGUGUCUGCUAAAGGUUUCCUACUUUGUGAGUUUUAACAAAGGGUACUUGAUGUUACUGGGAAGAAACAGAAUCACACCAUCUGCUUUUGCUUUGGGUGGGAGGGCAGAUGCACAUUAGGGUAUUUAAAAACUUACGGGUGAUUACAGUUUUCACUUUUUAAAUGGUUUCAGUUCGAGUACUGUUUGUAUUAAAACAUUUUUUUGGAGGGGGUUCACUUUUGUCAGCAGUUAGGCGUAUUGGUGUCAGAUAACUUUGCAGUUACUUAUGUUCCUGAAGUUCUGUUAUAACUGACAAGUCUGCAGAACUCACACAUUAGGGAAAUUAAAAACAAAUGAAGGAGUAUGCAGUACCUUUCAGUGUGCUGUAUUAAUGCAAUAAUUAGUAAUCUCCAGAAAAGAAAGAGUCUAGUAAAUAAAAAUAAUUUUGUACGUUUGAGUUAACAUGAGGGUGAUUUUAAAGGUAAGUAAUCUCAAUUUUUUUUUUCAAGUAUCACUGUAGUACAGAAGAACUCCAGCAACAGCAGAUGUGCCUAAUAUCUGU
rnacentral:lncRNA from 1 species